rnacentral:rRNA from 1 species
GCUCAACAAGUCGUAACAAGGUAGCCGUAGAGUUUGGGACUGGCUUCGAAAGGAAUGCUAAUACCGCGUCGUCCUACGGGAGAAAGCAGGGGAUCUUCGGACCUUGCGCUAAUAGAUGAGCCUAAGUCGGAUUAGCUAGUUGGUGGGGUAAAGGCCUACCAAGGCGACGAUCUGUAGCGGGUCUGAGAGGAUGAUCCGCCACACUGGGACUGAGACACGGCCCAGACUCCUACGGGAGGCAGCAGUGGGGAAUAUUGGACAAUGGGCGCAAGCCUGAUCCAGCCAUGCCGCGUGUGUGAAGAAGGCCUUAUGGUUGUAAAGCACUUUAAGCGAGGAGGAGGCUACUUUAGUUAAUACCUAGAGAUAGUGGACGUUACUCGCAGAAUAAGCACCGGCUAACUCUGUGCCAGCAGCCGCGGUAAUACAGAGGGUGCAAGCGUUAAUCGGAUUUACUGGGCGUAAAGCGCGCGUAGGCGGCUAAUUAAGUCAAAUGUGAAAUCCCCGAGCUUAACUUGGGAAUUGCAUUCGAUACUGGUUAGCUAGAGUGUGGGAGAGGAUGGUAGAAUUCCAGGUGUAGCGGUGAAAUGCGUAGAGAUCUGGAGGAAUACCGAUGGCGAAGGCAGCCAUCUGGCCUAACACUGACGCUGAGGUGCGAAAGCAUGGGGAGCAAACAGGAUUAGAUACCCUGGUAGUCCAUGCCGUAAACGAUGUCUACUAGCCGUUGGGGCCUUUGAGGCUUUAGUGGCGCAGCUAACGCGAUAAGUAGACCGCCUGGGGAGUACGGUCGCAAGACUAAAACUCAAUGAAUUGACGGGGGCCCGCACCAGCGGUGGAGCAUGUGGUUUAAUUCGAUGCAACGCGAAGAACCUUACCUGGCCUUGACAUAGUAAGAACUUUCCAGAGAUGGAUUGGUGCCUUCGGGAACUUACAUACAGUG